rfam:Pseudomassariella vexata strain CBS 129021 BCR38scaffold_20, whole genome shotgun sequence.
GGACAGAUGGCCGAGUGGUUAUGGCGCUGCGUUCAGGUGAACUGGAUAAAUUUGUCGCAAUGUGACAGACAUCGCAGUGGAGCAAUCCGCGUGGGUUCGAGUCCCACUCUGUUCA